GACGAACGCUGGCGGCGUGCUUAACACAUGCAAGUCGAACGGAAAGGCCCUGCUUUUGUGGGGUGCUCGAGUGGCGAACGGGUGAGUAACACGUGAGUAACCUGCCCUUGACUUUGGGAUAACUUCAGGAAACUGGGGCUAAUACCGGAUAGGAGCUCCUGCUGCAUGGUGGGGGUUGGAAAUUUUCGGCGGUUGGGGAUGGACUCGCGGCUUAUCAGCUUGUUGGUGGGGUAGUGGCUUACCAAGGCUUUGACGGGUAGCCGGCCUGAGAGGGUGACCGGCCACCUUGGGACUGAGCUACGGCCCAGACUCCUACGGGAGGCAGCAGUGGGGAAUAUUGCACAAUGGGCGGAAGCCUGAUGCAGCAACGCCGCGUGCGGGAUGACGGCCUUCGGGUUGUAAACCGCUUUCGCCUGUGACGAAGCGUGAGUGACGGUAAUGGGUAAAGAAGCACCGGCUAACUACGUG
rnacentral:rRNA from 1 species